UACGUAGGUGACAAGCGUUGUCCGGAUUUACUGGGCGUAAAGAGCGCGCAGGCGGUCGAUCAAGUCGAGUGUGAAAGCCCCGGCUCAACUGGGGAGGGUCAUUCGAUACUGAUCGACUCGAAGGCAGGAGAGGGUAGUGGAAUUCCCGGUGUAGUGGUGAAAUGCGUAGAUAUCGGGAGAACACCAGUGGCGAAGGCGACUACCUGGCCUGUUCUUGACGCUGAGGCGCGAAAGCUAGGGGAGCAAACGGG
rnacentral:rRNA from 1 species